GACGGACGCUGGCGGCGUGCUUAACACAUGCAAGUCGAACGGAAAGGCCCUGCUUUUGUGGGGUGCUCGAGUGGCGAACGGGUGAGUAACACGUGAGUAACCUGCCCUUGACUUUGGGAUAACUUCAGGAAACUGGGGCUAAUACCGGAUAGGAGCUCCUGCUGCAUGGUGGGGGUUGGAAAGUUUCGGCGGGUGGGGAUGGACUCGCGGCUUAUCAGCUUGUUGGUGGGGUAGUGGCUUACCAAGGCUUUGACGGGUAGCCGGCCUGGGAGGGUGACCGGCCACAUUGGGACUGAGAUACGGCCCAGACUCCUACGGGAGGCAGCAGUGGGGAAUAUUGCACAAUGGGCGGAAGCCUGAUGCAGCAACGCCGCGUGCGGGAUGACGGCCUUCGGGUUGUAAACCGCUUUCGCCUGUGACGAAGCGUGAGUGACGGUAAUGGGUAAAGAAGCACCGGCUAACUACGUG
rnacentral:rRNA from 1 species